GCCAAUGACCUUGCAUAGAGGAUUGUUGGCGAAGACAAUGAAAGUUGUUUAUUGUCCUAGCCUCACUAUUCCAUCAUCAACUUGGCAAAGGGGGCUAUGGGCAAGCAUGCAACUCUCAAGGGUGUGUGAGCGAGGAUGAUGAUAACGGUAGAGGAAGAGGGGAGGGAAAGCGAGUGUGAUGGGCAAUGGUGAGCGUGGAGGCUAGGAGGGCAAUAUCUUCUUUUAUGAAAAAAAAAUCCUCCAUGAGAUUUUUUGAAAAAGGGAUAAAAGAAAAAAAAUGAUAUGUGGACUGGUGCAGCAGAUAAGAUGGAUAUGGUCUGGUUUGGAGAAAAAAAGCAGCUAAAAAGAAAAGAAAGGCUGGCUCACACAGACCUUACAAGUGUUUGCAUACCAAUCUUUCUGAUAGAUAAUAAUAGUUCAGUAUGUGCCACUGAAGUCGGCGAAUAUGAUGG
rnacentral:lncRNA from 1 species